rnacentral:rRNA from 1 species
UACGGGGGGGGCAAGCGUUGUUCGGAAUUACUGGGCGUAAAGGGCUCGUAGGCGGCCAACUAAGUCAGACGUGAAAUCCCUCGGCUUAACCGGGGAACUGCGUCUGAUACUGGAUUGGACUUGGAAUUCGGGAGAGGGAUGUGGAAUUCCAGGUGUAGGCGGUAGAAAUGCGUAGAUAUCUGGAGGAACACCAGUGGCGAAGGCGGCAUCCUGGACCGAGAUUGACGCUGAGGCGCGAAAGCUAGGGGAGCAAACGGG